rnacentral:pre_miRNA from 1 species
UCCUAUGGAUGAGCAAAGAAAGUGGUUUCUUGAGAUGGAAUCUACUCCUGGUGAAGGGGCUUUGAA